rnacentral:rRNA from 1 species
AGAGUUUGAUUCUGGCUCAGAACGAACGCUGGCGGCGUGGAUAAGACAUGCAAGUCGAGCGAGAGUAUGCGGGUAGCAAUAUUUGCAGACUCUAGCGGCGAACGGGUGCGUAACACGUGGGUAAUUUACCGUGAAGUUGGGAAUAACUCCGAGAAAUCGGGGCUAAUGCCGAAUGUGAACCCUGGAGGGCAUCCUCAAGGGUUUGAAGCUGGGGAUCCGCAAGGACCUGGCGCUUCGUGAUAAGCCCGCGGCCUAUCAGCUUGUUGGUGAGGUAAAAGCUCACCAAGGCGAAGACGGGUAGCUGGUCUGAGAGGACGAUCAGCCACACUGGAACUGAGACACGGUCCAGACACCUACGGGUGGCAGCAGUCGAGAAUCUUUCACAAUGGGGGAAACCCUGAUGGAGCGACGCCGCGUGGGGGAUGAAGGGCUUCGGCUCGUAAACCCCUGUCAUUUGUGAUCAACCCCUCGACCUAAAUAGGGUCGAGGCUGAUAGUAGCAGAAGAGGAAGGGACGGCUAACUCUGUGCCAGCAGCCGCGGUAAUACAGAGGUCCCAAGCGUUGUUCGGAUUCACUGGGCGUAAAGGGUGCGUAGGUGGCGAGGAAAGUUUGAUGUGAAAGCUCCGGGCUCAACCUGAAAUGGCAUUGAAUACUACUUUGCUUGAGGAUUGGAGGGGGGACUGGAAUUCUCGGUGUAGCGGUGAAAUGCGUAGAUAUCGAGAGGAACACCAGUGGCGAAGGCGAGUCCCUGGACAACUCCUGACACUGAGGCACGAAAGCUAGGGGAGCAAACAGGAUUAGAUACCCUGGUAGUCCUAGCCGUAAACGGUGCACGUUUGCUGUGGGCGGAUUCGACCCCGUCCGUGGCGUAGCUAACGCGAUAAACGUGCCGCCUGGGGAGUACGGUCGCAAGAUUAAAACUCAAAGAAAUUGACGGGGGCCUGCACAAGCGGUGGAGUAUGUGGCUUAAUUCGAUGCAACGCGAAGAACCUUACCUGGCCUUGACAUGCAGGUGGUAGAAUCCUGAAAGGGUGCCCACUUCGCAAGAAGAGCCUGCACAGGUGCUGCAUGGCUGUCGUCAGCUCGUGUCGUGAGAUGUUGGGUUAAGUCCCGCAACGAGCGCAACCCUUGUGUCCUGUUGCCACUUCCGCGAGAGCGGAAAGCACUCUGGACAGACUGCCUCAUUUAAAUGAGGAGGAAGGUGGGGAUGACGUCAAGUCAGUAUGGCCCUUACGGCCAGGGCUGCACACGUACUACAAUGCCUGGCAUAGCGGGAAGCAAAACCGCGAGGUGGAGCAAAUCCCACAAAACCAGGCCCAGUUCGGAUUGUCGUCUGCAACUCGACGGCAUGAAGCCGGAAUCGCUAGUAAUGGCGCAUCAGCUACGGCGCCGUGAAUACGUUCCCAGGCCUUGUACACACCGCCCGUCACAUCAUGAAAGCCGGCUGUACCCGAAGUCGCCGGGCUAACUCCGACUUGUCGGAGAGGCAGGUGCCGAAGGUAUGGCUGGUGAUUGGGAUGAAGUCGGAACAAGGUA